rnacentral:rRNA from 1 species
CCUACGGGUGGCAGCAGUGGGGAAUAUUGGGCAAUGGGCGCAAGCCUGACCCAGCAACGCCGCGUGAAGGAAGAAGGCUCUCGGGUUGUAAACUUCUUUUCUCAGGGACGAAGCAAGUGACGGUACUUGAGGUAUAAGCCACGGCUAACUACGUGCCAGCAGCCGCGGGAAUACGGAGGCGGCAAGCGUUAUCCGGAUUCACUGGGUGUAAAGGGCGUGUAGGCGGGACGGGAAGUCAGAUGUGAAAACCACGGGCUCAAGCUGUGCCCUGCAUUUGAAACUGUAUUUCUUGAGAACUGGAGAGGCAGACGGAAUUCCUGGUGUAGCGGUGAAAUGCGUAGAUAUUA